AGUAGAGACAGUUUCACCAGGUUGGCCAGGAUGGUCUCGAUCUCUUGACCUCAUGAUCUGCCCGCCUUGGCCUCCCAAAGUGCUGGGAUUACAGGUGUGAGCCACCGCGCCUGGCCAACAAUUAACUUUUAAUGAAAAUAACUGAGGAAGAGCACCAGAGUGCUUUAGAGGAGUAACAGAAACCUGGUGAGCAGAGAAACUCAGGAUGGCCGCAUGAAGAACAGAAGGAAACACUGGGCCUGCACCCCAGUCCUCAACCAGGAUCAGCUGGGAAUGAGGCAAGGAGGACUGAAAUGACAGCUGUGCUCUGCCACUCUGCCAGUGUAUCUGGCUUCAUGAAGUCGGGGAUACUGCCAAGCCCUACCUUCUCGGGGUUCAGAGUCACUACUGCAUGGAGCCUCAGCCCUUGAACCCUGAGUUACGCUGAGCCCCUGAACCGUGAGUUACGCUGAGCCCCUGAACCGUGAGUUACUUUGAGCCCCUGAACCCUGAGUUACGCUGAGCUCCUGAAUCCUGAGUUACGCUGAGCCCCUGAACCCUGAGUUACGCUGAGCCCCUGAACCGUGAGUUACGCUGAGCCCCUGAACCGUGAGUUAUGCUGAGCUCCUGAAUCCUGAGUUACGCUGAGCCCCUGAACCGUGAGUUAUGCUGAGCCCCUGAACCGUGAGUUAUGCUGAGCUCCUGAAUCCUGAGUUACGCUGAGCCCCUGAACCGUGAGUUAUGCUGAGCCCCUGAACCGUGAGUUACGCUGAGCCCCUGAACCCUGAGUUACGCUGAGCUCCUGAACCCUGAGUUACGCUGAGCCCCUGAACCGUGAGUUAUGCUGAGCUCCUGAAUCCUGAGUUACGCUGAGCCCCUGAACCCUGAGUUACACUGAGCCCCUGAAUCCUGAGUUACGCUGAGCCCCUGAAUCCUGAGUUACGCUGAGCCCCUGAACCCUGAGUUAUACUGAGCCCUAUUGGCUCAGGCCCCGGAGUGGCAGCCAUACCCUGAUCCCCAGGUUUAAACAUGAAGAGCACCACAUCUUCCCCAGAGUUGGGUCAUUGCUCUGCCCCCCACAGUAGAAUCACAGCUACAACCCAGCCCCCUGGGCCUGACCUGCUAGAGAGUGCGUCAGAAGUACAGAUCCUGGCUUUGUGGGCAACGCACAUUCAACCCUGCCACAGAGAGUAAGCCUGCACCCAGUGACCCAGGCCUUGCCUCAAUUUGUACGCCAGGCUCUGAGCCUAGGACCCCAGCCCCACAGCUACUCCAAGCACCUGCAAACGAAAGCCAGUGCCACUGCAUUGUCUUGUGAGCCAUAUCAAGCUUGACACUAAAAGGUCCCCUUUGGCUGCAUGUCCCCAUUGUGGGGAAAAUAAGAAUAGGAGGAUCCCAAAAGCCCUUGACAUCAAGGACAUUAACAACCACUGCCACAAAUCUGUACAGCCUGGGCCUCAAGGCACCCACAGUUAUUGCUGAUGCUCAACACAGCUGAAGAGCUGCACCGAGACCAUAUCACUGCACCCAUCUGGAAACACAGCCACCACACCCUUUCCAACCAGCACACUAAGACCCAACUGCAGGUAAAAGUCUAUCUCUAUGAAAGCCACUCUAGAAACUUUGGAAGAGGCGAUUGUUCCACCAGGUGUACAGACAUCGGUGCAAGGACACAAGAAACAUGAAGCAGCAAGAAAAUCUGGCAUCAAAGGAACAUAAUUGUCUAGUAACAGAGCCCAGUGGAAAAGGAAAUCAGUGAACUGUCAGAAAUAAAUUCAAAAUAAUGAUCUUAAGAAAACUAAAUGAGGCCGGGCAUGGUGGCUUACGGCUGUACUUUGGGAGGCCAGGGGUGGGGGUGGAUCACCUGAGGUCGGGAGUUCAAGACCAGCCUGACCAACAUGGUGAAACCCCAUCUCUACUAAAUACAAAAAAUUAGCCAGGCGUAGUGGCACAUGCCUGUAAUCCCAGCUACUCAGGAGGCUGAGGCAGGAGAAUCGCUUGAACCCGGGAGGCGGAGGUUGCGGUGAGCCAAGAUCAUGCCAUUGCACUGCAGCCUGGGCAACAAGAGUGAAACUCCAUCUCAAGAAAGAAAAGAAAAGAAAACUAAAUGAGAUAAAAGAAAAUGCAGACAGGCAAUUCAACAAAAUCAGGAAAACAUAUAUUAAUGAGAAAUUCAACAAACAGAUAAAAAACCAUAACAAAGGAACAAGACAGAAAAUUCUGCAGCUGAGAAAUUCAAUUCGUGAAGUAAAAAAAUAUAAUGGCUUCAAUAGUAGUCUUGUCAAGCAGAAGAUUCUCUGAACUGGAAGACAGUUUGUUUCAAAUUACCCAACUGGAGAAAAAAAAAAGGAUUGGAAAGAAGAAAAUCUGUAAGACUUAAGGGACUCCAUUAAGCAUAGGCAUGUUUGUAUUAUGGGAGUUCCAGAGAGAGAAGAGUGAGGAUAAAGCAUAGAAAACCUACUUAAUGAAAAUUUCCCAAGUCUGGAGAGAGAUAUGGCCAUCUAGACCCAAGAAGCUCAAAGUAUCCCAAAUAUAUUAAACCCAAAAAGGUCCUCUCUGAGGCAAAUCAAAGUCAAAUUGUCAAAACUCAAAGACAAAGUGAGAAUUCUAAAAACAGCAAGAGGAAAGUGUCAAGUCACAUAUGAAGGAAUCUCCAUUAGACAAACAGCAGAUUUCUGUACAGAAACCUUUGAAGCCAGGAGAGGAGUGAUAUAGUCGAAGUGCUGAAAGGAGAAAGUUAUUAGCCAAACCUAUCUUUCAGAAAUGAGGGAGAAGUAAAGUCUUUUCCAGACAAACAGAAACUGAGGGAAUUAAUCGCUACUAGACUGACUAGUCUUGCAAGAAAUGCUGAAGGGAGUCCUACAUCUGGAAGCAAAAAGGUGGUAAUCACUAACUUGAAAACACGUAAAAGUAUAAAACUCACUGGUAGAGCAGAUAUAUAAAAGGGAAAGAGAAAAGAAUUAAACAUCACUACUGAAAACCACCAAACUGCAAUGAUAACAAGAAGAGAGGAACAAAGGAUGUAUAACCAGAAAACAAUUAACAAAAUGGGCCGGGCGUGGUGGCUCACACCUGUAAUCCCAG
rnacentral:lncRNA from 1 species